rnacentral:rRNA from 1 species
GACGAACGCUGGCGGCGUGCUUAACACAUGCAAGUCGAACGGAAAGGCCCUGCUUGCAGGGUACUCGAGUGGCGAACGGGUGAGUAACUCGUGGGUGAUCUGCCCUGCACUUCGGGAUAAGCAUGGGAAACUGGGUCUAAUAAAGGAUAGGAGCCAUUUUUAGUGUGAUGGUUGGAAAGUUUUUUCGGUGUAGGAUGAGCUCGCGGCCUAUCCGCUUGUUGGUGGGGUAAUGGCCUACCAAGGCGGCGACGGGUGGCCGGCCUGGGAGGGUGGACGGCCACAUUGGGACUGAGAUACGGCCCAGACUCCUACGGGAGGCAGCAGUGGGGAGUAUUGCACAAUGGGCGCAAGCCUGAUGCAGCGACGCCGCGUGGGGGAUGACGGCCUUCGGGUUGUAAACGCCGUUCGCUAGGGACGAAGCUUUUUGUGACGGUACCUAGAUAAGAAGCACCGGCUAACUACGUG